CACUAUAGGAAAAGGUGUUGGAUUCUCUGGUGGCCAGGACCGUGAAUAGGCACGCAUGCUCUGCAGCCCCCAUCCCAACCAAUGCUGCAGCGCAGAUACAAGAAGCCAUGGAAAAAUGAAUCAAGCCAGCAAAGGAGGCAAUAUGGACAAUCACAGUACAUUACAGAACCAUACUCCGUUAGGACUUCAAUCAAAAUAUGAACUUUAGUUUCCUGAUCUCUUCAUACAUAGCUGGAAGCUAGUAAAGGUCUUCUUUCCCCUCUUGAUUCAGCUCCACACACAUGGACAUAGCACACGAACACAAAACUGUGUAAUCUUAAAUCUGCACUAAGCAAGGUGUGUUCAUUAAACUACGGAGAAGCUGUAACAUAUGGCUUAAUGACUGAGAGCAUGAGCGCCACUGAAUCGCUCUGUGGAAACUAAGCCUAAUAUACUCAUCUGAUGUGACAGAUAAUGUGUGCUGUCUGAAAAAUGAAUAGGUUUUAAUAGUAAGUAAGGAUCUGAUCAACUGGAAAUUUGUGCUAAUAUGGAAGAUACUGUAGCUUCUUAAGGUUCUUCUCCGAGCAGCGGUAAGAAGGUUGUGUGCUCUGAGGUCUAGACACAGUUAUAUUAUAUCAUGUUCCAGGUCAGUUCAACCUUCAAUAAUUCUUGAUUGUGUUGAAUGUGUAUGACAGAGGUGUGGGAUAGUGUAGGAGGUAUAUGUCAUUUUAAAGGGGUUGUGGAGCUAGUACAUAUUGAUGACCUAUCCACAGGAGAGGUCAUCAAUAUCCAAUCAGUGGGGGUCCAACUCCUGGCACCUCUGCCGAUCAGCAGAAGAUGAGGCAGUGCUCAUUCGAGUGGUACUUCUUCUUCAAGAUUACACUGCGAGAAGUCUCGGCAGUGUACUUACAAGUGCUUGUUCCAUUCACUUGAAUGGGACAUGCGCUUGUAAUUACACUGAGCCGUCGCUGCAGGCAAGAUGACGCGCAGUGUAAUCUUGAAGAGGAAACAAAUCUGGUACGAGCACCACCUCCUCUUCAAACAGCGGUGCCGGGAGUCAGAGCCUAAACAAUUAGAUAUUUAUUUCCUCUACUGAGGAAAGAUCAUCAAUAUGUACUGGUUGCACAACCCAUUUAAUGAAGCUUCCCCCUCCUCCUCCAAUGUAUUGAGUUGUGUCAUAUAAUACGUAUGCUGUACUGCUGUUAGUGUGAAGCCAUUACAAUAUGGCGCUUGCACUUGGACGUUUACAUAGUUUGCAUGCCAGAGUUAGUAAAGCAAUGCACAAUGCGCAGAUGCCAAGUGUUAUCUCUUUUCUUGUUUUUGUAUUCUAGCCAAUGGAACAAUGCCACGAGCCUCAGGGUGGAUACCCCCUCUGAUGUACAUAUAUACUGCUUAACUUCCUGUAAUAAAUGAGAA